rnacentral:rRNA from 1 species
UGGGGAAUAUUGGGCAAUGGGCGCAAGCCUGACCCAGCAACGCCGCGUGAAGGAAGAAGGCUUUCGGGUUGUAAACUUCUUUUGUCGGGGACGAAACAAAUGACGGUACCCGACGAAUAAGCCACGGCUAACUACGUGCCAGCAGCCGCGGUAAUACGUAGGUGGCAAGCGUUAUCCGGAUUUACUGGGUGUAAAGGGCGUGUAGGCGGGAUUGCAAGUCAGAUGUGAAAACUGGGGGCUCAACCUCCAGCCUGCAUUUGAAACUGUAGUUCUUGAGUGCUGGAGAGGCAAUCGGAAUUCCGUGUGUAGCGGUGAAAUGCGUAGAUAUACGGAGGAACACCAGUGGCGAAGGCGGAUUGCUGGACAGUAACUGACGCUGAGGCGCGAAAGCGUGGGGAGCAAACAGGAUUAGAUACCCUGGUAGUCCACGCCGUAAACGAUGGAUACUAGGUGUGGGGGGUCUGACCCCCUCCGUGCCGCAGUUAACACAAUAAGUAUCCCACCUGGGGAGUACGAUCGCAAGGUUGAAACUCAAAGGAAUUGACGGGGGCCCGCACAAGCGGUGGAGUAUGUGGUUUAAUUCGAAGCAACGCGAAGAACCUUACCAGGGCUUGACAUCCCACUAACGAAGCAGAGAUGCAUUAGGUGCCCUUCGGGGAAAGUGGAGACAGGUGGUGCAUGGUUGUCGUCAGCUCGUGUCGUGAGAUGUUGGGUUAAGUCCCGCAACGAGCGCAACCCUUAUUGUUAGUUGCUACGCAAGAGCACUCUAGCGAGACUGCCGUUGACAAAACGGAGGAAGGUGGGGACGACGUCAAAUCAUCAUGCCCCUUAUGUCCUGGGCCACACACGUACUACAAUGGUGGUUAACAGAGGGAGGCAAUACCGCGAGGUGGAGCAAAUCCCUAAAAGCCAUCCCAGUUCGGAUUGCAGGCUGAAACCCGCCUGUAUGAAGUUGGAAUCGCUAGUAAUCGCGGAUCAGCAUGCCGCGGUGAAUACGUUCCC